UGUUCUGUGGCGUAGUUUGUUAACGCGUUUAGUGUAGAGAAUUGGGAAGUCAUAGGUUCAAAUCCUACCAGAACUA
rnacentral:tRNA from 1 species